UACGUAGGGGGCAAGCGUUGUCCGGAAUCAUUGGGCGUAAAGAGCGCGUAGGCGGCCCAGUCAGUCCGCUCUGAAAGUCAGGGGCUCAACCCCUGAAUGCGGGUGGAUACUGCUGGGCUAGAGUCCGGAAGAGGCGAGUGGAAUUCCUGGUGUAGCGGUGAAAUGCGCAGAUAUCAGGAGGAACACCAAUUGCGAAGGCAGCUCGCUGGGACGUUACUGACGCUGAGACGCGAAAGCGUGGGGAGCAAACAGG
rnacentral:rRNA from 1 species